rnacentral:rRNA from 1 species
AGAGUUUGAUCCUGGCUCAGGACGAACGUUGGCGGUGCGCUUAAUGCAUGCAAGUCGAGGGAGAAGCAGACGUUCCGUAAGGUUCGACUGUGGAAACCGGCGAACGGGUGCGUAACACGUGAGAAACCUGCCCCCCAGAUCGGGAUAGCCCAGGGAAACUUGGAUUAAUACCGGAUACUCUCUUUGGACCGCAUGGUCCUUUGAGGAAACAGUCCGCUGCUGGGGGAUGGUCUCGCGGCCUAUCAGCUUGUUGGUGAGGUAAUGGCUCACCAAGGCUAAGACGGGUAGCUGGUCUGAGAGGACGAUCAGCCACACUGGAACUGAGACACGGUCCAGACUCCUACGGGAGGCAGCAGCAGGGAAUAUUGCACAAUGGGCGAAAGCCUGAUGCAGCGACACCGCGUGCGGGAUGAAGGCCCUCGGGUUGUAAACCGCUUUCAGGAGGGACGAAAAUGACGGUACCUCCAGAGGAAGGCCCGGCCAACUACGUGCCAGCAGCCGCGGUAAUACGUAGGGGCCAAACGUUGUCCGGAUUUAUUGGGCGUAAAGGGCUCGUAGGCGGUUCAACAAGUCGAUCGUGAAAGCCCGGGGCUCAACCCCGGGACGCCGGUCGAAACUGUUGUGACUAGGGUCCGGUAGAGGUGAGUGGAAUUCUCGGUGUAGCGGUGGAAUGCGCAGAUAUCGAGAGGAACACCAGUU